UGAGGAAUUUUGCGCAAUGGCCGCAAGGAUGACGCAGCAACGCCGCGUGGGUGAUGAAGGCCUUCGGGUCGUAAAGCCCUGUCAGGUGGGAAGAAAGGCUUGGAGAAGAAACGCUUUGAGUUUGACGGUACCACCAGAGGAAGCACCGGCUAACUCCGUGCCAGCAGCCGCGGUAAUACGGAGGGUGCGAGCGUUAUUCGGAAUUACCGGGCGUAAAGCGAGUGUAGGUGGCUCAUUAAGUCACAUGUGAAAUCCCCGGGCUUAACCUGGGAACUGCAUGUGAUACUGGUGGUGCUAGAAUAUGUGAGAGGGAAGUAGAAUUCCAGGUGUAGCGGUGAAAUGCGUAGAGAUCUGGAGGAAUACCGAUGGCGAAGGCAGCUUCCUGGCAUAAUAUUGACACUGAGAUUCGAAAGCGUGGGUAGCAAACA
rnacentral:rRNA from 1 species